GCACCUUUAUAUUGAAUCUGGUGUUAACUUCUAACAGUUGAACAUGUCUCUGUGGUUACUGAUUCUUUCUCCAAACAAAGGGAUCAAUCAUUUCAAAGUUCAUGAUUUUUUUUUUUUUUUUACAUUUGUGUGACCAAAAACCCACUGAAGGUUGUAUGGUGGUCAUGUCCCCAGACAUGUGUGUUUGCAGGCAACCGAA